rnacentral:lncRNA from 1 species
GUGAUUGGAGAAGGGGGAGGAAGAGAAAUGUGGAAGAGGACAGGGAGAGAGAGCACAGACAGGAAAACUGCAGAAAGCCACAGGGAAAAAGAACUCCAAGAUUACAAAUACCCACUUCAUUUGAUGCUGAGUUACUCGUCGACACAUAAGAAAAGGAUGGUUGAAAACAACACUCUAGGCUUUAUCAUGAAGUGGGUUUCUAACUCUGAACUAAAAACAAAGUACUUGCCCUGGUAUCUGAAAGCCAGAAGCCUAAAGGUGAUGCCUCUGAGUUCCUUUAUUACCCCAACCCCUAUAAUCUCUUUGUUUUAACCCAGUCUACACAAGAAUGGUAGCAGACUGCCC